UUCCUUUGUUUUCCUGUCUUGUCAUAAUGAGUCGGUAGAAACGUUAAUCUCGAUAUUUGCUUUUCAGCACUUAGAUUUUAGCAUACCUGUAAAUUUGUAAGCAGAACUGUUUUCCAAAUUAAAUUAUUAUACAUUGGUGAUCAUUAAGAGCAAUUCUCUGUAAGCAUCAAAGGAAUUAAUACAGGGAAACCAUAGGUGUCAGAUUUCAUGUUUGCAUUAUGCCUCCAUGUUUAAAAAAUCUGUUUCAUAAAAAUAGAGAUAAGACAUACAACAAAGACACAAAAUUGCAGUAUUGUUUUGUGUAUCUAUUUCCCUGUCUAUGUUAUAUUUGUCUUAUUUUGUUACUUUGUUGAUAUUUAUGAACUUUGAGGGUAUAACGAAUGUGAUGUUUGCUUGAAAAGAACAACCAGUAUUACUAUAUGUUAUUGUUAUUAACCCAUUCUUAUCAAUUUUAAUUUGAAAAUAUAUAAGUUUUGUUAAGUAUUGGUAAUUUUAUUCCUUCAUAAAACUAUGUCUGCAUGUUUGUACAAUAUUUGAAUUACAAAAUGUAUAAAAUAUAAAUUUACUUCUGUUCCAAUUUAAAAUUAGGUGACAGUCACAGUAUAUCUGUAAAAAUGCUAACUGUCAAUUAUACAUUAGAAACUAUUACAUAUUAUUUAACUUCGUAGUACGCAGUACUUUGAAAUCAUAAUUAUAAAAGCAAUGCACAUACGAGACAUUUUCCAAAUGACAAUAAAAACGCUAGCAAUAGAAAAGUGUAUGCCUGAGACAAUAAAACCUCGAAAUUGCCCGAGUUGUGUGCGCAUUAACCGUGACUCAGUACGCAAGGUACAGAUAUAAUUUAGGAUAACCAGUAAACUUAACUUAAGCUCACAGCAAUGCAAACGGACAGAACUUCUGUUUUGAACACACCCUUUCGAGAUUAAUGAUAUAACAAAAGAUACUUAGGAGAACAUGCUAUGAAAAUGAAAACAAAGUUGUGAUCUAUGGUACCGGUUUAAUAGACAUUUACAGAUAUACUUGGUUUUACUUCUUUUUUGCUUAGUUACUUAGUUUAAACGACCCUAAAUCUCUCUCAAUUAGAAAAAUAUUGUAAUAUUUGCAUUUUGAAUUAUUUAAGAUGCUUGAGACAAUUAAAAUUACUACCAACAUUUUUAAAUAGUGUUCAAAAGAACAAUGAAUAAGAUAAGUUCUUCUAUCUUGCAAACACAAUUGCCAUGUAAGAGAAUUUUAUAGUCGACUUAACAAUAUUGGAUUUCUCAGUGUUAAAAGGCCCUUCACUUGCGUACAUCCAUUUCAAUUUUGUUGUAAUUAUUUCGUUCAACUUUACAACACGGUUUUAAUACAGUAUAUACAUGCAGA
rnacentral:lncRNA from 1 species